rnacentral:rRNA from 1 species
AUUGAACGCUGGCGGCAGGCCUAACACAUGCAAGUCGAGCGGAGGAAGGGCGCUUGCUCCUGGAUUCAGCGGCGGACGGGGGAGUAAUGCCUAGGAAUCUGCCUGGUAGUGGGGGAUAACGUCCGGAAACGGGCGCUAAUACCGCAUACGUCCUGAGGGAGACAGUGGGGGAUCUUCGGACCUGACGCUCGCAGAUGAGCCUAGGCCGGAUGUGCUAGGUGGUGGGUUAAAGGGCUACCAAGCCGACGAUCCGCAACUGGUCUGAGUGGAGGGUCAGUCACCCUGGAAGGGGGACGGGGUCCCUACUACUAAGGGAGGCAGCAGUGGGGAAUGGUAGACAGUGGGGGAAAGCAUUAUCCAGCCAUGGCGCGUGUGUGAAGGAGGUCUUCGGAUUGUGAAGCAGGCUAAGUUGUGAUGAAGGGCAGUAAGUUAAGACCUAGCUGUUUUGACGGUACCAGCAGAAUAAGCACCGGCUAACUACGUG